rnacentral:rRNA from 1 species
UACGUAGGCAGCGAGCGUUGUUCGGAGUUACUGGGCGUAAAGGGUGUGUAGGCGGUUCGUUAAGUUUGGGGUGAAAUCUCCCGGCUCAACCGGGAGGGUGCGCCGAAUACUGAGGGACUAGAGUACGGGAGAAGAAAGUGGAAUUCCUGGUGUAGCGGUGAAAUGCGUAGAUAUCAGGAGGAACACCGGUGGUGUAGACGGCUUUCUGGACCGUAACUGACGCUGAGACACGAAAGCGUGGGUAGCAAACAGG